UUGUUUUAUGUACACUCCUGUUGAUUGCUCCUGUUUCACAAAGUUUUGAGGUUUUCUUCAACUGUUGUAUAUAGUAGCUAAGGAACCUGGGGAACCUGCCAAGAAGAGAUCCUAAAGAGAGCUGCUCAAUGGAAAUAAAUUCUAUGAUGGUCGUUCUGUUUGUAGACGGAAGGAACACCAAUCUGUCCAAGUUGUUGUCUCUGCUGAACAGAAAACCAGUCUGGCAGAUCAUCAAUGUAAAAGGAAAUGGAGCUGUAUCCACCUGAGUCACAUUUCACCUGCAAAGCUAGAGUGUCAAAGUUAAGUACAAGCGUUUUUUCAUCCGGUAUUAAAAAAAAAAUAGGUAAACGUGGGAUGUCUGCCACUAUUUAUGAGCUGCAUGGAGCAUUCUAUUUCUUGGGUUCACCCUAAGAGUAUGCGCCAGGCUUGAGUACAGAAUGAAAAGUUUUACAACUAUAGUUUCUCUUUAUUUAGCACAUACUUAUUCCGUGAGUCAUUUGUAGUAACUGAUGUGCUCGUUAAUGUAGAUAAUGGAUAUCAUAAAAAAAAACCCCUGAUAUUUACCCUUUGAGUGGUUUAUUUAGUGUUAGAGGAUUGGCUUCCAGCAGCAUAAAGAGAUACAGCGUCUCAGUUGUUCUCUGCUGCAUAGGGGAGAGAAUUCCAUUUUGCCUUUCAGCCAAAGGGUCCUGGCUGACCAGAACCCCCUCAGCGACCGGUCCUUAAAGCAGAUAGGAUGGGAUUCGGAGAGGAAGCCAGUGACCCAUCCAAGCAAUCACCAAUCACAAGCUGGACCUAACAGGGAGAAAAGGAGCCCCCAGAGUUUAUAGCGAGAUGGACAGAACAGUCUGCCAUCCUCACUUCUUAUGUUUUCAGUGCUCUGGAAGGAUUUGGGGACCUGCUUCACAAAAUGAAAGGUCUGCCUUAACAGUGAGAACUGCAGUUACUUCACUUAAUUAGGAAAUGGCUUGAGGGUGAAUAAAGUCCUGAUCCGUGAGGGCCCUCUGCCAGCUGAAGGCUCACUCAGAACUGAAGGGACAUGUGGCACCACAUUGCACACUGGCAACAAGACUGCCUUGUUCUUAUGAUCAUUUUACUGUAAAAAAAAUAUGUUCAGCCACUCCUAUAGGGCUCCAGCAAAAAAACAGUGUUCCUAUGGACCAUCUGUGUGCCACUGACCAACCAAGAGCUGAAAAUAAAUGGUGGGGUUGCACCCACAUGCCUUCUUAUUCUAUGUGGCAUUUUGAUUACAUUUAGUUAUUGGGAUAUUUUUAUUCGAGGGAGAGUCUGAUUAUUGUUGUGCGUUUAAUUGGUCAUUCAUCUUUUCCCCUUGAUUCUCCUGCCUCUUUCUUUUCCUUCAAGUCAUAUCUUUUCCACUUCUUUAAUUAAACCUUGUCCUUUCCUCAGCUGAACUGUUCACUCCUUUUUAGAACUGGUUUCUCCUGGAUUGCUUUUAAUUCCUAAUGUCCUAGAGAUUGUAGGGAAAUUAAUGUAUAUUAAUAUAUUCCCCUGGACAUUAAGUGGAGGCACUGUGUAUUGAGAAUCUAGUUUAGUUCCAGUGACCAGUAAGCAAAGGGCUGAAAUCUAUCAGGCCAAUGAACCAAAAUAUCCCCAGGGUCCACUGUUCCUAAGGAGCAGGUAGUUUCCAUCAUGAUUGAGUAUCAGUGGCAGUGACAGAGCAGUAUAAAAGUAACAUGAUUGCUUAGCUCUUAAUUUUACUAUAAAACACACCUGAUUUUCAUAUUUAUUUGAUUUUUAAGUGUCAGGUUUUCAAGUCCAGUCAACCUAUCUUGGCAUAGGUCCCAAGUAGUUAAGGACAGCAAUGGCUUUACACCACCUUUGUAAUCCCUAGAUCCCAGUUAGAAACUGGGCUACUCCAAUGUAUGAUGGCAGUACAUGAUCCUUCAGGGACCAUUCACUAGAGCAGAAGACACACCAUGCCCCCUGCAAUUGGAAACACGAUCCUAUGCAAGGGAGGAGCCCCAAGGGAAUGGUGGAGAUUUGGCCCCAUUCCAGGAGAGUCCCCAAAAUGCUUGAGUUACGGUUGCUUUCUGACCUCUUCCACUGAUACCACAGUGGAAAGGAGUCAGACUGGGAGCAAAGAAUCAAGUCCUCUCUAUCUGUGAAAGGAGAAUGUUUCAGACAUUCAAAAAAAAAAACCUAUGGAUUUCAGAAGUAGCUGUAGAUUUUAGCCAAUUGCCUGAGACACUAACAGACAGAUCACGGUCCAUUUAAGUCAGUGGCAGACUUCCCACUGACUGCAAUGGGAUCAAGAUUUUGCCUAGAAGAUCCUAAUGAGCAACAUACUCACUUUUAAAUGUAUGAUUUAUGUUAUAAUUCGAACACUUGUAAAGAUUCUGGUUUUUUUAAUAGAAUAUUUCAUUCAGACCUUAGGUCAGAAAACUGUUUAUAUAAUCCCAGUAAUGUCUUCCCUCCUUUCCAAGUCAAAAUACCCCCAUAAGAGCCAACAGUUUGAAAUUGGGAGUCUCAAGUUAAGCACAUAAAUCCAUGUUUACCGUUAAGCACCUAAUUAUGGAUACAUAAUUUUGGGCACCUGAGUUUGCCAAGUUUUGGCAAAGGUUUUUCAUCCAGUGACAAAUUGUGUAAGAUGGAACCUUAGGUACAUUUUGAUUUGAUAGGACUUCCUUAGGUAGUAGGCUGCUUCAAAAAGGAAUGCAUGUGCAGAUAAAAACACCAGAAAUGUAGGAGAAUUACAAUUUUUGGAAGAAUAUUUUUGUCUUCCUAUCAAAAGACAAGUAUGGUCAAGAGUUUAAUAGCAUAUGCAUUUUAUGUGAUGCUUUCAGCACUUCAUAUGGUUGUAAAAUCCAUUACACUAAGCAGUUAGCAUGCCAUUUCCCCCCAGGGUUCUUCAUCUUAACCAAGACAAUUUUCUGGCAUGUCUUAUAAUUGUGUUGGCUUUAGGCAGCUAUAAAUUUCAUUCUGGGGUUUUUGCGAUUUAUUUUACAAGACGUUAUGUACCCAAAGCUAAACACUGUCACGGCAUUACUAUUGCACAGUUUCUAGUUAGGAACAGGGUGAUAAUGAGCUUUUUUUUAAAUUCUAAGAUACUUAUAUUUGAUGGCCAUUGACAGCAAGUGCUGUCUGAACUAGUCAAUUCAGCAGAACCAAAAGGGUGACCGCACUGGAGAGAGUCUCCAAAACAAAGAUCCAGAUUCAGUGGCUGCAGAGCAUGCAGAAGCUCUGUGUAACCUGUUGAGCUCAGAAGCCACACAGGUUACUCAUUCUGUUCUGCUGCCCAUCAGCACAGGGUCUGAGCACCUUUCAGCAGUGCAUUAAGUUACAGACUAGCAUCUAUCACACUUAAUUUUUUCUUCUUUCUCUCUCCAGGUGUGGAGAACUGUCUGUGGAUUUAUGUACUUUUCUUUUUUAAUUGAUGUGGAAACACCACAUCUGAGAAACAAAAUUUCAGCUUUAAGCAGACACAGGGACCAAUUACCACCCCAAAGAUCAAAUAGGUGACUGCUCCUUGCCCAUAGGCCCCUAUUUUUCCCCCCUUCAAAACUAACCCUUCCUAGGGCAUUUUUAACCUUUAAAGAUCUGUGGUGGCAGGCCCUUUCUCCACACUUAAAGGGAGCAUAUGGAAAUAAGGACUGAGAUACUGUAAGUGCAGCUUUUCUCUGGCAAGAGGCCAGUUAACAUCUUAAUUCUCCCCACCAUUCCUGGAAGCAGGCUGUCUUCGCAGCCAGGUGAUUGUGCAACUUUCUCUCUUGUAUUCUUACUUCAGUCACAGUGGGGCCCAGUAAAGGCAGUAGCCUCUCUCUGCUGGGCCUUACUUGAACUCAUUUUACUGACCGCAAGACAAAAAACCCAGAGCGUUUCUUACGGAAAAGCUGCACAAGGUGCUGGUCUCAAACAAUAUCCAAGUACCAGUAAACACUUACUGGAAGGUUGUGAGCUUCCCUCAUUAACUUUGUUCCCUGUGACAGAAAUUAAGGAGGGAGUCUGGGAUGGUGGGGUUGUUAUUCAAACUUCUUGAAGUAUUUAAAAUUUGGUUCAGGUAAUGUAAAAAGGAGGUGAGAAGAUUCAGAUUGAUUCUCUUUUCAGACCAUUGUAAUUUGACUGACUUCACUAUCAUUGCAUGCACUUAUAGCUGACUUAAAAGGUCUGAAUUUGACUUUAACUCAUCCUUAAUUAUCAUAUGGUACAUAUGAAAUAAAAUUUGCUUGGAAAAGUUCAUAGACAUUUAAAACAGCAGUGAUCAUUAUAACCUAAUUUGGAGAACUCCACAGGUGAAGGGAGGAAGGACUCCUGGCAUAUUAGUAGUCAUUAAAUGCAGCCUAACAGUGUCACACAGCAACUCCAAUUUGGGAUUGGAUCUUGGUAUCUUGUUCACAAGCUAACAUAGGGUCAAGAGUGGAAGUUAAUGUUAAUUUUAGGGAAUUCAUCCUUGGAUAAAUAAUAUUGUGCUCCAUUUAUUUUGGCAGCUUGUUUAGUAUUCAAUGGUAUGUAUGACUGUGUAAACAAAGUUAUGUUGUGAUUAGAAUAGUGACCACUCUAGCUAAGGUUGCAAACCAGUUUCCAUUAUAAGUUGGUUUUCAUCCCCUCCUAACUUAAAAUAUUGUUCUGAAUUUUUCCAUGUUUGGUUGGUUGAAAGGAUGAGUCCAGGUCCUUUACACGCUAUUCUGGACAAAUGACUUUUCCCGGGGUUAAAAAAAAAUUUAAUCACACUAUUUUGAGUUGGGCUUAUGUAAAACAGGGCUGAAAUCAGACUCUGAAAUUGGCACAGACAUAACCAGUGCUGAGGGCCUCUACUUGGUUUGAAGACACACUGGAUUUGAUUUUAAAACGUAAAACAUAGUCAUUAAACUCCAUACAGACUGUUGUCAAUAGAGAUUUUCCUCAAACUAUCUCUUGUGGAUAUAAACAUGAAUGUUCAGCUAGUGAAAUGUGCCGAUCUUUGUUCAAGAAGCUUACAAGCUUUGAUAAUAAAACAAACUGAGGCCCUGAUCCUGCAACUGACUUUGGUAUGGGCCAGUGCCCUCAUAGAGCCAGAUGAACAUCACAUCCUGAAUUUGAAGCUCCAGAAGUCCAUCCAUGUGCUGGGCUAGAGAAAAACUGCUAGGGCAGAGAAGAGGUGCUGAAGAAGCAAGUUGUUGAGGGUAUGUCUACAUGGCAACUGUAGGAUGUGUUGGCAUUCCUGAGCUAGCUUUAAUCUAGCUAGUGUGUACACCACUAGAAGUGAAGCCAUGGCAGCCUGGACUUCAGUGUGGACUAGCCACCAAAGUACCCAGGGUUCUGGGGGGGCUUGUAGAGCCCAUGAUGAAACCCCUGCUUCCCUACUGUUGAAGCUAGGCUAGCUGAGGUACGCCUGCAUAUGCUGCAAUCAUACACCCAGACUGCAACAUAGAUAUACCCUGUGAGGGAGGGCUGAGUUGGAGGAAGAUAUCUCAGAUAAGCAAUGUGAACUCCACUGCAUCGGCUGUAGGAGCUAUUUUUAUUCUACUUUUUUGUUUAAUGAAAAAUAUUUAGUAAUUUUAGCAUACAGCAUAAGCUGUAAGAUGUGCAAUGUGACCGAAUAAACUUUUGCAUUUCUUUACUUUGUGCUUUAACUGUGCAUCCUUAGCAUUGCAUUUUUCUUUAUUUAGCUAUUCAGUUACACUAUUUUGUUAGUUUAUAUUAUGACUAAUAUGUAUUUCUAUCCUGAUACAAGUUAGGAUCAGUGUAUAGUAGCAUAUUCCUGACUUAGUGAAGUCUUCAGAGCGUGUGCUAUUCUUUCAAAUUGCCAGUGAUAUGCAUGUCUUCCUUGUGUGACCAUAUUAAAAAAUUAAUCACAGAAUUAAAAUAUGGUAGAAGUUCUUAUUUUAUGCAUGUUCUCAUAUAACUUUUGACAUAGGUGGCUCUUUCUGCAACUGAUUCUAAGAUCCCAUUCCCAACAACAUUUAAAGUACAUUCCAUCAUUAUUUGCAUUGCCUGUUAUACCCGAGAAUCCAUUUGAUCUGAGACAAUAUGCAGCAGUUACUAUUGUUCUAUAAAUUGCCUCAAUUGGGUUUUCUGUGUGAACAUAGUCUAAAAAGUACGUUGGUUGAAUCUGUGGUCAAUUCAGUCAUUCUGAGAAAGCUCAUAAAAUCCCGAGAGAGUUGCAAAGAACAAUCAACCCCUGCAUCAGGAAGUAAAGAGGAAGUGCCAACCCAGUGGAAAAUUUAUUUAUUACAUGUUUGAAGGCUGCUGAAAUAACAAAACGUCUGACUUUACAGGCAAACAGGGCACGCACAAAGGCAAUGGAAUUAAUCUCACUUUAGGCCAGCGAACGAUAUUCAAUGUCUGGAAAUGAGAGGAAGGGCCUUCAGAUGAACACUCUCGCAAGCACCUUCAGUAGCACAGCACUACCAGAAUGUCCCUACGAAGCCUCAGUGGAUAUGGAGAACAAUUGAUCACCAUCCACCUGCAAAAGUACCAACCAAAACCACCACCACAAAACACACGCUACUUUUUAUUGUAAUCUUUUGAUCAAACUAUUCUGUAAACUAUAAAAAAAAUUGCUCAUCUCUAGAUUAUUUUUUUGCAUCAGAACAGAGGACCUGUACUGUAUGUCUGAAGGGUGCCAUCCUUGGCUCCCAUUUUUUAACUCAAAGGAUGUCUUCUAAAAGGGCUUAAUUAUUCCAUCAAGUCUCAUUUCAAGAGGAGUGUCAGCGCUCUCUGCAUAAGUGAAAAAAGCUGCUUGUUCUCUCUGGCUAAAGCAGUCUGUUUUCCGGAGCAGGAAAUGAAAGAAAGUUACUUUAAAGAAUGAUUUUUAAACCGGUGCUAACCUGAGGAAGAGAACAUUCAUCUUAAGGGCAAUUUCCUUAACCAGUAAUUUUCUGUAUUCCACAUGUAAUCAUUCAAAAUUUGUUUUGAAUAGAGCUUUCUCCUUAUAUAACUUAUUUUUCUCUUAUUUGAUCCUUCAAAAAAAUUCUAAUCCUUCUGUGUAUGUUGUCAUGGUCUGUUUAUAUGGAAAGAAUUGUACUAUCACAAACUUAUAAUUGGUAAUGAAGACUUCACAAGUGGAUAAGAGAAGCUGAUGGGGGAAAUCAGCAUCAAUGUUUUUGAUUAUGAGAAACAGAUGUAAUCUGAUAGACUGACUCAGCAGAAACAAAUACAGGUGCAGUCAAGUCAGCAAUUUUCUUUAAAUAAUAAUGCAUUAUUAUCCGAUUAUAAACAAGUUAACAUAUGCAAAGGUGGCAUGACUAAAAACAACCCUAGGUUGGGACAAGCUUACGACCCUGGUGUGAAAUCCUGCCUUUCCUUCUCUGUCCCCAAGCAACCUUGUAAGUCUCUGUCUCUCUGAACACUUGUGCAAAUAUUAGAAGAAUGUAAGCUGUUAACCUUCUGCUCACUGUGCACCAGCUAACAAUUCUCCAACCUGUUGAAGGAGGGAAAGAAAAUGACAAGGGAUCUAAAGAUUACAUAUACACUUUCCCCUUCUUCUAAAGCAGGGCAGUUCUGAAAUCAGUCAACCUCAAGUGGAACCAAGGCCUAAAUAAAAUCAAACUGUUCUCAUUUCAUGGAAUAAAAGAAAAACUAAUUUGAAACAACACACACAAAUCUGUUGCCAGAUAACUGCUGAAUAAACAUGUGCACUGCUUUGUAAACAGACUAAAAUGUCACGUCAGUUUUCUGUAAACAGAGUGAAGAUGGACACAAGACGAAAGCAGCAUCUUCCCUACCAAGGGCUUUGUUGACAUUUAGUAGAGUUAAUUGUAACUAUUUGCUAGUUUAAAAAGUAUCUUCUAUUGCAGUUAGAUUGCACAAACCUGAAGACACUUCACAAAAACUGGCUACAGGCUUUUCUUCUAAUUUGGUGCUAUCGUUUGAGAGAUGAAUGGCAAAAAAAAAAAAAAAAAAGUCAAAAAUGCAACUCAGUACAUCUCUUAGGAAAACAUUACAGGUCAAGUUCUGCCCUUUUGAAGGUCCUUGUGUGUAAAUGGAACAUUUUUUUCCACCCAAAAACAGCUAAGAACUGAAAUACUGAUGUUUUGUGAUUCACUCAUCUACGUCCCCUCCCAUUCAGUAAAUUUUGUUUGGAUUAGGAAUUAAAUUGGUCGGAGGGCAUGUACUUGACUUAUGAAGGGUGAAAAGGUUUAAGACUAGUGUUUGCUCAAAGGGACUUUUCUCCUGCACCCUUCUUUACUUAGCUUUGAUGAGAUUUCUCUUAUGGAGAGAGGGGUGUGUUGCUAUUGCUCCUAUAAACUUAACAUUCAGUUUAAGCAAUUUCUGUUUUGAUGUGGACUCUCAGACAUGGUGGUCUGAAAAGAAAAUGAAUGACUGUAUAAAGGAUCAAAACUGUUCCACAGAACUAAAGACUUAUUAAUCAAGUCAUAAAUUUAUUUUUAUAAAUCACUUAGUAGUUUGUAAAAGUUUGGUAUCCCUCUGGAUGAGAGAUUUAUAAAUAUUUCAUUUUAUAAAUGGAAGAUUAGUUUUGUGUCAAAAGGGUUCAGUUAUGGUUUCUGUGGGAAUUAUGAGUCACAUUUUGGUCUCAGUUAUGCUGGUAUAAAUUUGAAGUAAUUUCAUAAAAUCUGCUCUUCAUUGUUUACUUUUCGAUUUAACAGAUGUAAGAUUGAUACAUAUUACAUGGCCUGACUUUUGGUAUUUCAUAGUAAUGGUGAUCAUUUUUGGUGGAGUGUAUGCUUACGUUCCCUUACCAUUUUAAAUGAUGAUGCCCAAAUAUGCCUCUUACUCUUUUCUCGUCCCAGGGUUUUACAAUCUCUGAGAUUUUUACAUCCCACAACGUGGGGAAGGGGGACUCAAAUUAAGAAAAAACUUUGUUAAACAUAUUUAAAAUUUUUGCACAAUCCUUCUUGCUUUACUAGUGCAAACCUCUCAAUGAUUUCAGCAGGUUAUGAAGCUCAGUAAGGAGAGCUGAAUUGGAGCCUUAUUUGGGGGUAAUUUGAUCCUCUGGUUCUCCCAGUGCAUCUAGUCUCUCUUUAUCCGUCUUCUAAAAGUUGUCAAGAUUGUUCCAGCUUUAGAGAUGUGGGUGCUGUACAGCACUUCAUAACUGACACAUGCAAAAGGGUCUGGAAAUUCAGUCAUGGCCCAGAUUCUGAAUACAGUUCCACUAGUUGACUUCAAUGAAGCCAUUGAAAAAUCCAGGUGACUUAAAAAGAGUUACUCAGACAUACUGUCAGAAUCUGACCAAUAACUGAAUUUUACAUGUAAAAUCUCUACCAUCAUCAUAAAACCUGUGAGAUGAUGCCACAGCCAUCUAACAGGGCACAGUGAUCAUAAACAACAAUUUAGGGUAGCUAGUGAUUAUUUCCAGUUGAAAUCAUAUAGAAUAUAAGUAUUCAGAAUUUUAUUACUCAAAUUGUCCAGGAACUUUAACACCCACCUCUUAUUAAAAAAUAAGGUGCCACUGAGUUAUUAAGGAUGAAUAUUGAGGACCUCAGUUUUACAUCUGAUCUAAAAGAUGGCAUCUAAAAAGAAAUAUCUACCUUGGUACUAAGUAAAUUUCUCUCUAUUUUAUCAUUCUCAGCCUGUAGGAGACAUAGCUUGGUUAUUUUAUAGCUUUUUGGUUUGCUUGCUUCUUUAUGCCUGGUUUGAGCACAAGGCUUGUGUCUAUGUCAAGAAACUACUGAAAUGAAUUUUGCGUUUGCUUCUGAAAGUGGUUAGCUCUGAGGACGCAGUUUUGUCUUGUAGGAGUACGUUCCAUAGUCUAGGUCCAGCUCCUGUGAAAGUUCUGUUUCCUGCAUUCACAAGCCUCCCCCCAGUUAUCCGACAAGUUUAUUGUUCCAGUGGAACACAACAACUGUCAUAUGAGGUCAUGACUGCAGAGGAAGAAGCAAUAUUUCAAGUAGCUACUCCAAUGCAGGACCUUGAAAAUCAGGACAGAGACCUUGAACUGGACCCUCUACUUAAUUGGGAGGGGCCAGUGUAGUGUGAGGCCCAAGGUGAUCAUAGAAACCUAUGUUUCUAAGCAGACUUUUUUUUUUAAACAGUUAGAUCUUUCUCCUUCACGGGGGCUUCAUUAUCAAAAAUGAGUUGCAAUAAUCAAAGCUAGGUAUCAUAAAUGCUUUAUCAGGACUUUGUCGGAUAGGAUGAUGCUCACACUUCUGACCAGUUGAAGACAGAGCAGGCAUAUUUUGCUGCUAGGGCAUUGAGCAUUCCCAAUCUGUGGACUAAUUUAGUCAGUGGCAGAGCAAGGAUUAGAACUCAAAACUUCCUAAUGGCCAAUUGUGUGCUCAUUGAUCCAAUCCAUAACACCUUUCACAAGGGCAUCCUGUAGAUGUAGAAAAAAAAAUAUGUGGGGAGAGGACUGAGCCUUGAGGAAUUCUACAGCAGAGGGCUUUGGAGUUGGAGUAACUGUUGCCCAUAACUACUCUCAGGGUUUGGCCUGGGAGGAAGAACUUGAACUAUUACAGGGUGUUUCUGUUCACCCCUGCAGCAUCUUGGGCAAUCAGGUGCUCAAUGGCAUCAAAUGCCACUGAGAGGUCCAGCAAGAGGAUUUUAGAUGUAGUUUACUUGUCAGGGACAGCAGGAGGUCACACACCAAAGCAACAAGCUUGACUGAGAAGGAUCCAGAGUGCCAGCAUCUAACAGGUGUCUUUGAGAAGGUUGUUUGCUAGCUUCUCUAAGCCAUUCAAUUCAAGAUCCACUGCAGAGAUUGAGUGGGAAAAUGAAUGAGAUUUGUGUGUGUGCAGCAAAUACAAAACCUGACUGAAGUCUGGAGUAUAUAAUUAUGAAGGGAAUAAACAGAAAUGUUACAGUACUUUCACCUUGCAUCAAAUGGAAAAACUAAAGCACAUCUAAAGCUAAGAAAGGUCUUUGCAGACUCUCUUUACACAGAGAACAUUUAUGAACAGACCAAAGUAUGCAAUAUGGAUUUUUCAAAAUCAUUUAAAAAAAUUAGAUAAAUAUUUGACAAAAAUAUAUUAUUCAGUACAAUGGCUUAAGUCUGAUUGCAUGGUCCAAUGUUUCUAGGCCUUUUUCUGUAUAAUUGAAUUUACUAUGUAGCCAUAAAACUGUAAAAUGUAAUGUGAUCUUUCAUCAGUGUAAACUGAUAGUAUCUUUCUCAUCUGAAAAUAGGUGUUCAUUGUUUUAAUUUCCUACAGGAAAUUAAUUACAUUUCCUCACUUUGGCAUAUUACAUUAUGUAAUGUAAUAAUCCAGCCCACCCAAAUUAUUUAAAGUUAACUAUUUUUUCCUCAUCCACCAAGGUGAAAUCUGCUUGGAGACAUGCAUUAACAAAUGAAAACUAUACAGUAACUGGACAAUUUACAACUAUCUGGAUAAUAUCCAUUAAGAACCCAAAUAGUGAGGGGACCAGUUCUCUCUUCCUGACAUAUGGAAGUUUUCUGAAUAGUUAUUCAUUUAAUGAUUUCUUUUCUUUGUUCAAAACAAAAACAAAUCUAACCAUCCCUAUGGGAACACUAAAGAUGGGCCAAAAGCACCAAUCACUUGCUAGACAGUAGAUACCAUAGAAAAGUUACCCAUAACUAGCCACAGAAUUGAUCUUGCAUUUCAUUGCAAGGAACUGAAAACAUGAAAUGAUUUUUUGACUAUUUCUUCAGUGCCAUAGGUGUACAAUUUUACUUUAAAAAAACAAUUUCAAGAGAAAGGUACCCCCCUGCUUAAGAGUGGCAAUUGCUCUUGGUUGUGUGGUAGGAAUGAGUCCCUGCCUGGACUACAUCUCACAUGUUGUACCACAAUCUCCUUGCUGCACUCCACUAGGGAGUCCCAUUUUACCCGCACAAAAUUCUCUUUGUUACACACACUCUAAGGCACCCAAUUUUACCCUAAAUUUGUUGACCGUACAUUCUAGGACAUCCCACCGCUACCUAGUUCCUAGGACUUAAGACAUAACCCAGUUGAUUUAGGUACCCUCACUCUUUCCCAGUUCCUAGGACUCCAGGUGAAAGGCAUCAAACUUUACCUGUCUGUGGGAUCCGGACAAACACCCAUUCCCUGUGGACUCAGGGCUUAAUCUUCUGUGGGUUUAUGGGGACUUUUACCAGUGAAAGAGCCUUACAAAGUAAUAUCCUACUUAAUCUCUAUUUAUUUAACAAUCACCAAAAAAAGAAUGCACCCACUAAGCAUACAAUGCUCACCACUCCCAAUAAGGCAGAUGAACUUUUCCUGAUGGCCAGUCAGGUUCAGGUCAUCUGGGGACUCCAGCUUCUGCACAGUUAUGAUUGGCAAAGUACUGAGGCCUGGGAGCUCUGAUCUUGGGGCUGUGUCCUGGAGUUGGUUCCAAAGAACUUCCUUUUGGACCCUAGUUUAUACAGUGAAACUUGAGUCUUGCUUAGUUGUACCUUAACCAAGCAUUUUAUUGAAAUAUUACUGAACAAUUUUCUAAACCAGUCCUAACAUAUUGUAAAAAUUCUUUAACCAAUCAUACCCCACCUCCAUAGCUGACUUACACCAACCAAAAUUAGUUAUGCAACAGACAGAAACAAUCAAAAAACCAGACAGACCACACAGAUAAACAAUAGAGAAGUGGGGACCAUAAAGACAUAACCAUAAAGAAGUAGGGAUUUCACAACUACAACUAUUGAUAAGUGAUUUCUUGCCAGACAGAAUGCUAUCAAAGUUUUCCUUAACCAUCUUAAGAUCUGUUUCUUUAUCUGGUAAUGGUGGGUACUAUUAGGACAUGAUCGCUUUUUAACAGCCAAAUAUUAUAUUAUUAUAAUGUAAUUUAGAUGAAAUGUGAGGAUGUGACUUCCUGCUUCUUUGCUCAUGGCUGCUGCUCUUCUAAUAUGGCUGCAGAAAAAAGUCCUCAGGCCUUACAAUAUGGAUACAGGAAACGGCCUUAUCCUUACACCAUGACCAUGCUGCAUCAAGGUCUUGCCAGGGAUUCUGGCCCAGAUGAAAAACUGGAACUCGGGAAACAUUGCAGCAGUUCAGUAGACAUAGAAUAAUGUUGAACUGAUUCAAACCAAAAACAUUGUUUCAGAAUGCUGAAGCAAAAUAUUCAAAAAAAUUCCCAUGUUAGAAAUUAUUAAAACAUUUUGCUCUGCAAAAAGUUUUGCUAUUCUGUUUGGGGUUUUUGUUUGUUUGUUUUUCCGGUCUCAAAUUCAGGAUUAAAAACAAAAUGUUGAAAUAUCACCCUUCCCCUGGGCUGGAAAUUCUUUUUUUAAAAUAAUAUCCACCAAAUAGUAGCCUAUUUUAAUAUGCUUUUGAGGAUCCACACUGUUCAUUUCCAAUGUUCUUAUAUUAGGAAUUUAAGAGAACAAGCAACAGCUCAAACUGCAAAUUAUUUUAAAAUUGUUAAUGUUUAAGGAAGAAAUUUACAAUUUAGGGCUUGUCUACACAAAAACUAGAAGGAACUAGCUAAACUCAUAAUUUACACCUUAUUUAUUUAUAUUGAUUCAGUCUGUUUGUGGAUGUAUAUUUUGGAUUCAGUGUGUCCUACUGUGAUUAAACUUAAAUUGAUAAAAAUCAA